rnacentral:rRNA from 1 species
UACGAAGGGGGCUAGCGUUGUUCGGAUUUACUGGGCGUAAAGCGCACGUAGGCGGAUCUUUAAGUCAGAGGUGAAAUCCCAAGGCUCAACCUUGGAACUGCCUUUGAUACUGGGGAUCUCGAGUUCGGGAGAGGUGAGUGGAACUGCGAGUGUAGAGGUGAAAUUCGUAGAUAUUCGCAAGAACACCAGUGGCGAAGGCGGCUCACUGGCCCGAUACUGACGCUGAGACGCGAAAGCGUGGGGAGCAAACAGG